rnacentral:lncRNA from 1 species
AUUUUUGUAAUUUAUCUUUUCUUUUCACUAUUAUUCAUCCUUUUUUAUGUAUAUACUUUCUCUUUUCUGCUCUCUCCAUACUCGACUUAUAUUUUUCUAUUUUAAGUGAGACUAAUACGCGACAAAUAUUAGGGUAUCUGCACGGCACUUAAACUCAUGGUGAAUCAUUCGACACAUUCCAACACGCAGCUUUAGGGGCUAUUUGGUUUCUUAAAAAUGUCACGCCCCGGGAUCCCUUUUAGGUUAAAACACAGCGAAAUUUUUUUUUUUUUUGAAAACCUGACCCUAGGGUAUGCCAGAUCCGCCACAAAUACAGAAAAUCCACUGUUCACACGGACAGAGUCUUCCCUGUAUUUGCACGGCGUCGCACAAGUACAAGAGUAUAACCAGUAUACAACCAUCAUAAUGAAUAAACAACAAUCAAUAUUCAUUCACCAUUCAUCACAGAUUUACAAUUCAUAGUUCAAUUCAUAAAUCCACGACCAUUAGUUUAAAACGUUUCUCACCCGGAAGCUCAUUUUGAAACACCAAGAGUUGAAAAGCCAAUAAAACCUUUUUAAAACCAUUUCCUACACGAAAGCCUUUUCUUUUUAAAGCACGCUACCACGAGGGGUAGAAAAUUAUUUUCAGUUUACAAAAUCAUAUAUCCUUUAUUUUUCAUGAAACCACGUGUUUUAAUUAACUUCACAAAACCAUGUUUAUAUAUAUCCAAGUAAACAAAACCAACUGAACCAUAUGUCUAAGAUAUGUCAACAGAAAUAAAGAGGGUAAUAGCUGAACUGAACAAACCGGGUCGAAAGCUCUAGCGACCAC